rnacentral:rRNA from 1 species
UGCAGUCGAGGGGCAGCAUCAUCAAAGCUUGCUUUGAUGGAUGGCGACCGGCGCACGGGUGAGUAACACGUAUCCAACCUGCCGACAACACUGGGGUAGCCUUUCGAAAGAAAGAUUAAUACCGGAUGGCAUAGUUUUCCCGCAUGGGAUAAUUAUUAAAGAAUUUCGGUUGUCGAUGGGGAUGCGUUCCAUUAGGCAGUUGGCGGGGUAACGGCCCACCAAACCUACGAUGGAUAGGGGUUCUGAGAGGAAGGUCCCCCACAUUGGAACUGAGACACGGUCCAAACUCCUACGGGAGGCAGCAGUGAGGAAUAUUGGUCAAUGGACGAGAGUCUGAACCAGCCAAGUAGCGUGAAGGAUGACUGCCCUAUGGGUUGUAAACUUCUUUUAUACGGGAAUAAAGUGAGCCACGUGUGGCUUUUUGUAUGUACCGUAUGAAUAAGGAUCGGCUAACUCCGUGCCAGCAGCCGCGGUAAUACGGAGGAUUCGAGCGUUAUCCGGAUUUAUUGGGUUUAAAGGGAGCGUAGGCGGGUUGUUAAGUCAGUUGUGAAAGUUUGCGGCUCAACCGUAAAAUUGCAGUUGAUACUGGCGACCUUGAGUGCAACAGAGGUAGGCGGAAUUCGUGGUGUAGCGGUGAAAUGCUUAGAUAUCACGAAGAACUCCGAUUGC